AUUGAACGCUGGCGGCAGGCCUAACACAUGCAAGUCGAACGGUAACAGGAAACAGCUUGCUGUUUCGCUGACGAGUGGCGGACGGGUGAGUAAUGUCUGGGAAACUGCCUGAUGGAGGGGGAUAACUACUGGAAACGGUAGCUAAUACCGCAUAACGUCGCAAGACCAAAGAGGGGGACCUUCGGGCCUCUUGCCAUCUGAUGUGCCCAGAUGGGAUUAGCUAGUAGGUGGGGUAACGGCUCACCUAGGCGACGAUCCCUAGCUGGUCUGAGAGGAUGACCAGCCACACUGGAACUGAGACACGGUCCAGACUCCUACGGGAGGCAGCAGUGGGGAAUAUUGCAGAAUGGGCGCAAGCCUGAUGCAGCCAUGCCGCGUGUAUGAAGAAGGCCUUCGGGUUGUAAAGUACUUUCAGCGGGGAUGAAGGGAGUAAAGUUAAUACCUUUGCUCAUUGACGUUACCCGCAGAAGAAGCACCGGCUAACUCCGUG
rnacentral:rRNA from 1 species